rnacentral:rRNA from 1 species
UACAGAGGUCCCAAGCGUUGUUCGGAAUUACUGGGCGUAAAGGGCUCGUAGGCGGCCAACUAAGUCAGACGUGAAAUCCCUCGGCUUAACCGGGGAACUGCGUCUGAUACUGGAUGGCUUGAAUCCGGGAGAGGGAUGCGGAAUUCCAGGUGUAGCGGUGAAAUGCGUAGAUAUCAGGAGGAACACCAAUGGCGAAGGCAGCACUCUGGGACGGUACUGACGCUGAGACGCGAAAGCGUGGGGAGCAAACAGG